rnacentral:rRNA from 1 species
UACGUAGGGAGCAAGCGUUGUCCGGAAUCAUUGGGCGUAAAGCGCGCGUAGGUGGCCUCAUAAGUCCGCUGUGAAAGUCAAAGGCUCAACCUUUGAAAGCCGGUGGAUACUGUGAGGCUAGAGUACGGAAGAGGCGAGUGGAAUUCUUGGUGUAGCGGUGAAAUGCGUAGAUAUCAAGAGGAACACCUGCGGCGAAGGCGGGUUGCUGGGCCGACACUGACGCUGAAGUGCGAAAGCUAGGGGAGCGAACGGG